CAGACAGACAGACAGACAGAGUGCAAACCUAAAGUCCCCUUCGACUUAGUCAGUAGGGGACUAAUAAACACAAUGCAAUUUUUUUCCAUUAAAGCAUUUAAUUUCAGCAAAAACAAAAACCUAUAGAAAUCAUUAACCAACAAAUAACAGCACAUUCAACAACAGGAAGUAGAUAUAGGUUAAGGGACAUAACUCUUCAAAAUCACUGCUACGUUUAAGGAAGUACACCACUAAUUCAUGGCCCCAUUGCUUUCUAUGUUAAAUUCAUCAAUUUCAUGCAGGCACAGCUCUUUUACUUUAAGUUCAAAUAAAGUGACAAUCAUUGCAUGUCAAAGCAACACUUUAUGGUGUCUUGUACUGAAAAAAUCAACAUACCUUUAAUGGCAUAUAAGAAAGAACUGGUUCCCGGAACUUCGGAUGUACCAAAACAGGUACUUCAGAUCUGACAAACAGGCAAAAUGUACCCUCAUUUUAAAAUUUGGUGCAUUUUUUUAAUAUUCAAAAUUAUAAGUCAAAAAGUGUUCUACAAUGAUCACCAGUCAUUCAGCUUUCAUUUGAUACCAAAAAUACCUAAAUAUUCUACAUAUUUUGAAAGUUACACUCAUGCGUAGGAACUAUUUUGUGUUAAAUAUGUACUACUUUCUGGUAUGUGCUUUCUGGCCGGGCCCGAAUUAGUGGUGUUACACCUUAAACUUCUAUGUAACACAGGUUAUAGAGUUAUCUCCCUUUACUAAGUUCUACUUUCUGAACAUAAAAAAAAAUAUUUCUAAGAUCAUUCCUUGCUUUCUUAAAUUAAUAAAUAACAAUAACAAAGGAGAAAGUCUGAUAAGGCCUUUUUUAUGGCCCCUUGAAUUUGAAAAUAGUUUCCUAAAUGAAUUUAAUAAUACCCUUCAGAUAUUCACAAGGCAUUUAUAGUCUGUCAGGUAUUAGUAUUCAUUCUUUUGAUAUGUGUUUUAUUCAUUUGCUUAGGGCUUCAAACAUCCUACAUUUCAUGCAAAACUUCAAAAUCUUCAAAAUAGGCACACUUUGGGUUCUUGUUAUUAUAUUUUGAUUUCUCAAAAAAUAUAAUUUCCUACAUGAUUUCUUAUACAAAAAUAUUAAUUUGGAUAACAUAUCUUUUUGGUUAAAUAUAAUGCCUUGCUUCAUACCUAAUUUUACAAAAAUAUGUCAAUUUUACAUGUUUACAAGUCACAUUUACAUCGCAAUAUACUUUUUUGAACUGAAUAUUCAGAUCAUAUCAUUUUAUUCAUUUAUCAUUAAAAUUUGACAUAAUUCUGAAAAGAUUGAGUAAAUUCACUAUAAUUACAAUUUCAGGGGGCCAAACAAUGGCCCUUAUCUUAGUUCUUCCAUUUCUGCAAAGUUUAACAAACAAACAAAAUAAUAAUAUUAUUAUGAACACAAAAAUAAGACAUUCAAGUCACAUAAAAGUUAAGUUGUCUUUCUGACACCAAUUCUUACAUAGUAAAGGCUUUAUAAUAUUUCAAUCAGUUUUACUAGCCAUGCUACAGUGUGUAUUUAACAAUUAUAUGCACACAAUUAUAGUAUAAGUAGAAAUUAUACACAUAAGGAUCAGUAAA